UUGGUCUUCUAAGUAGUAGUGCCGCAGGUGAUUGAAUUUGAUGAGAAAUAAAAACGGUAAUUUACCUGCGCACGACUACUUCAUAGACCGA
rnacentral:pre_miRNA from 1 species